CAUCCAAGGAAGGCAGCAGGCGCGUAAAUUACCCAAUCCUGACACAGGGAGGUAGUGACAAUAAAUAACAAUGCCGGGCUAUUUAGUCUGGCAAUUGGAAUGAGAACAAUUUAAAUCCCUUAUCGAGGAUCAAUUGGAGGGCAAGUCUGGUGCCAGCAGCCGCGGUAAUUCCAGCUCCAAUAGCGUAUACUAAAGUUGUUGCAGUUAAAAAGCUCGUAGUUGAAUUUCUGGUUGGGUUCGGUCGCUCAAGAGGGUACCAGGGCUGGCCAUCCUCGAGGAAACUUCUGUCAUUAAGUUAAUGGGGGGAUCCUCGUCAUUUACUGUGAGCAAAAUAGGGUGUUCAAAGCAGGCUUAGCCGUUGAAUACAUUAGCAUGGAAUAAUAAGAUAAGACCUUGGUCUAUUUUGUUGGUUUGUACUCCAAGGUAAUGAUUAAUAGGGAUAGUUGGGGGUAUUCGUAUUCAAUUGUCAGAGGUGAAAUUCUUGGAUUUAUGGAAGACGAACUACUGCGAAAGCAUUCACCAAGGAUGUUUUCAUUAAUCAAGAACGAAAGUUAGGGGAUCGAAGAUGAUUAGAUACCAUCGUAGUCUUAACCAUAAACUAUGCCGACUUGGGAUUGGUAGCGUUUGUAAUGACACUAUCAUCA
rnacentral:rRNA from 1 species